CUGUUGGCUCAGCUGCUGCUGCAGGUGCUGCUGCUGCUGCAGGUGCUGCUGCAUGUGGUGCUGGAAAUGCUGCUGCUGCAUCUGCUGCUGGAUCUGCUGAUGCAUGUGCUGCUGGUGGAGCUGCUGCUGCUGCAUCUGCUGCUGCUGCAGCUGCUGCAGCUGCUGCAAC